rnacentral:rRNA from 1 species
AAAGAGGCAUUAUUUUCAUUCGAGGACGUGCCUUCCUCUUUGCCUCCUGCUGUCACUAACAUUUUGCAGGAGUUCGCUGACGUUUUUCCACAAGACGUGCCACCGAGAUUACAGCCUAUUCGAGGGAUUGAGCAUCAGAUCGACUUAAUUCCCGGUGCUUCACUGCCAAACCGUGCACCAUACCGUACCAAUCCAGAGGAGACGAAGGAGAUUAUGCGUCAAGUACAAGAGCUUCUCGACAAAGGUUAUAUACGCGAAUCCCUUAGUCCUUGUGCUGUUCCUAUUAUUCUAGUGCCGAAAAAGGAUGGUACAUCACGUAUGUGUGUUGAUUGUAGAGGCAUUAAUAAUAUUACUAUUCGUUAUCGUCAUCCUAUUCCUAGGCUAGAUGAUAUGCUUGAUGAAUUGAGUGGCUCUACAAUAUUCUCCAAAGUUGAUUUGCGUAGUGGCUACCAUCAAAUACGUAUGAAAUUGGGAGAUGAAUGGAAAACAGCAUUUAAAACUAAGUUUGGAUUAUAUGAGUGGUUAGUCAUGCCUUUUGGGUUAACUAAUGCACCUAGUACUUUCAUGAGAUUAAUGAACAAAGUUUUACGUGCUUUCAUUGGACGAUUUGUGGUAGUUUACUUUGAUGACAUAUUGAUUUAUAGCAGAUCUUUGGAGGAACAUUUGGAACAUUUACGUGCUGUUUUUAUUGCUCUACGUGAUGCACAUUUGUUUGGUAACCUUGGGAAGUGCACCUUUUGCACCGACCGAGUAUCUUUUCUUGGCUAUGUUGUUACUCCACAGGGAAUUGAAGUUGAUAAAGCCAAGAUUGAAGCUAUUGAGAGUUGGCCGCAGCCCAAAACGGUCACACAAGUGAGGAGUUUUCUUGGCCUCGCUGGAUUCUAUAGGCGUUUUGUGAGAGAUUUCAGCACCAUUGCUGCACCUCUCAAUGAGCUUACAAAGAAAGAUGUGCCUUUUCUUUGGGGUACCGCACAAGAAGAUGCCUUCUCGGUAUUGAAAGAUAAGUUGACACAUGCUCCUUUACUCCAACUUCCUGAUUUUAAUAAGACUUUUGAGCUUGAAUGUGAUGCUAGUGGAAUUGGAUUAGGAGGUGUGUUAUUACAAGAUGGCAAACCUGUUGCAUACUUUUCUGAAAAAUUGAGUGGGCCUAGUCUGAAUUAUUCUACUUAUGAUAAAGAAUUAUAUGCUCUUGUUCGGACUUUAGAAACAUGGCAACAUUAUUUAUGGCCCAAAGAAUUUGUUAUACAUUCUGAUCAUGAAUCUUUGAAACAUAUUAAAAGUCAAGCUAAACUGAAUCGUAGACAUGCUAAAUGGGUUGAAUUCAUUGAGACUUUCCCUUAUGUCAUUAAACACAAGAAGGGAAAAGAAAAUGUUAUUGCUGAUGCAUUGUCUCGCCGCUAUACUAUGCUUUCACAACUUGACUUCAAAAUAUUUGGUUUGGAGACCAUCAAAGAUCAAUAUGUGCAUGAUGCUGAUUUUAAAGAUGUAAUGCAGAAUUGUAAAGAAGGACGAAUGUGGAACAAGUUUCUCGUUAACGAUGGAUUUGUGUUUCGUGCUAACAAGCUAUGCAUUCCAGCUAGCUCCGUUCGUCUUUUGUUGUUGCAGGAGGCGCAUGGAGGAGGAUUAAUGGGACACUUUGGCGUGAAGAAGACGGAGGACGUACUUGCUACACAUUUCUUUUGGCCAAAGAUGAGACGGGAUGUUGAGCGUUUUAUUGCUCGAUGCACUACAUGUCAAAAAGCUAAGUCACGACUCAAUCCUCAUGGUUUAUAUAUGCCUUUGCCUGUACCUAGUGUUCCUUGGGAGGAUAUAUCUAUGGACUUUGUUUUAGGUUUACCUCGAACAAAGAAGGGGAGGGAUAGCAUAUUUGUUGUCGUGGAUAGAUUCUCGAAAAUGGCACACUUUAUACCAUGUCAUAAAAGCGAUGAUGCUGUUAAUGUUGCUGAUUUGUUCUUUCGUGAAAUUAUUCGCUUGCAUGGUGUGCCAAAUACUAUUGUUUCAGAUCGUGAUAGUAAAUUUCUUAGCCAUUUUUGGAGAUGUUUAUGGGCUAAGUUGGGGACUAAACUGCUUUUUAGUACUACUUGUCACCCCCAAACUGAUGGACAAACUGAAGUAGUCAAUAGAACGUUGUCUACUAUGCUUAGGGCUGUUUUGAAGAAUAAUAAGAAAAUGUGGGAGGAAUGCUUGCCUCAUAUUGAAUUUGCUUAUAAUCGUUCAUUGCAUUCUACUACUAAGAUGUGCCCUUUUGAAGUUGUGUAUGGUUUCCUACCUCGUGCACCUAUUGAUUUGUUGCCUCUUCCAUCUUCGGAGAAGGUUAAUUUUGAUGCUAAACAACGUGCUGAAUUGAUUUUAAAAAUGCAUGAGUUAACUAAGGAAAACAUUGAGCGUAUGAAUGCUAAAUAUAAACUUGCUGGAGAUAAGGGUAGAAAACAUGUUGUGUUUGCACCUGGAGAUCUUGUUUGGUUACAUUUGCGUAAGGAUAGAUUUCCUGAUUUGCGCAAAUCAAAGUUACUGCCAUGUGCUGAUGGUCCCUUUAAGGUGUUAGAGAAAAUAAAUGAUAAUGCAUAUAAACUUGAGCUGCCUGCAGAUUUUGGGGUUAGUCCCACUUUUAACAUUGCAGAUUUGAAGCCUUAUUUGGGUGAGGAAGAU